GAUGAACGCUGGCGGCGUGCUUAACACAUGCAAGUCGAACGGAAAGGCUCCUGCUUGCCGGGGUACUCGAGUGGCGAACGGGUGAGUAACACGUGGGUGAUCUGCCCUGCACUUCGGGAUAAGCCUGGGAAACUGGGGCUAAUACCGGAUAGGACCACCUUUUGGAUGGUGUGGUGGAAAGUUUUUCGGUGUGGGAUGAGCUCGCGGCCUAUCAGCUUGUUGGUGGGGUAAUGGCCUACCAAGGCGUCGACGGGUAGCCGGCCUGAGAGGGUGGACGGCCACAUUGGGACUGAGAUACGGCCCAGACUCCUACGGGAGGCAGCAGUGGGGAAUAUUGCACAAUGGGCGGAAGCCUGAUGCAGCGACGCCGCGUGGGGGAUGACGGCCUUCGGGUUGUAAACUGCUUUCGCUAGGGACGAAGCGCAAGUGACGGUACCCAAAGAAGAAGCACCGGCUAACUUCGUG
rnacentral:rRNA from 1 species